GUGCUCGCUUUGGCAGCACAUAUACUAAAAUUGGAACAAUACAGAGAAGAUUUGCAUGGCUCCUGCAUAAGGAUGACAUGCAAAUUCGUGAAGGGUUCCACAUUUUU
rnacentral:snRNA from 1 species